AAGAGAUUGGUAUAACCAGAGUGGCUAUCAACAAGCAGUAAAUUAGGGUGGUCUGUAUUAUCUUCUUUGUGCUUUUAGCUAAGUGUGUGCAUAACUGAGAAGAAAUACAGUGCGUGGACCAGUUUCUAUAAAUGCAUCCGGAGAGCUGGGAAGAUGACUAAAUAGCCGGAAAAAUGAACUAUCUGAAGCAUGAGAGCCUUCAAACUGCGAAAACAUUUAAGUAAGGCCAGGCACUCCUGAAUCUGCAUUUGUGAGGACAGGGAAAAUCUACUAAAAGGC
rnacentral:lncRNA from 1 species